CUACGGGGUGCAGCAGUGGGGAAUAUUGGACAAUGGGCGAAAGCCUGAUCCAGCAAUGCCGCGUGUGUGAAGAAGGCCUGCGGGUUGUAAAGCACUUUCAGUUGGGAAGAUGAUGACGUUACCAACAGAAGAAGCACCGGCUAAAUCCGUGCCAGCAGCCGCGGUAAUACGGAUGGUGCGAGCGUUAAUCGGAAUUACUGGGCGUAAAGCGCGCGUAGGCGGCUAAGUCAGUCAGAAGUGAAAGCCCCGGGCUCAACCUGGGAAUUGCUUUUGAUACUGCUUAGCUAGAGUUUGGUAGAGGAUAGUGGAAUUCCAGGUGUAGCGGUGAAAUGCGUAGAUAUCUGGAGGAACAUCAGUGGCGAAGGCGACUGUCUGGACCAAAACUGACGCUGAGGUGCGAAAGCGUGGGUAGCAAACAGGAUUAGAUACCCUUGUAGUC
rnacentral:rRNA from 1 species